CUUAGUAUAUUAAAGAACCUUGGGUUCUUCCUGAUCGCUAUCGCAUAAGUUUAAAGGAGUAAAAUUUGGGUUAGAGUUUCUUCGUAUUGAAUUGACAUUUGCAGUUUGAUAUGUUGAAUGGAUAGUUUGCUUAAGGAAUAAGUGUAAAUUAUUUUACCUUCAUUAUUGCAUGGAAAUUUAAAGUACAUUGCAUUGCAUUGCUGGCGGCGGCUGGAAGAAGGUGCUGCUUGCUUUUACCGCUGCCUGGCGUCUUCUAAAGAAAAUCUUUUUGCGUUUCUGUUUGCAGAAUCAUCGGUAUGUCUGAAGGCUUAACUGCUGAAAAUGCGUGGGCCGUUGGCGACGAUCCAUUUCAGAGGGUCCAGUUCCGUGACUGUGCUUCGUUCUCCCGGCGCUGGUCCUUAAGAGGUUAACAGACUCAAAAAUGUUUACAGUUUCUAAAAAUGUAAAAAAAUAAAAUUUGAUUUUUUUGAAUGUGUAAAGGUCUCCCCAAAUCACAAAGCUUUCAUCUGAUGGAAGCUUAAGUCUCCACUUGCUUUUUGACAUAGCAAAAGAGACUAUCUAUCAUUGAAUUGUACCAAAAUGCUAUCUGCUCAUGAGUGAUGUAUGUUUUCUUUGCCAUUUUAUUAGAAUAAAGCAGUUUUGUCACAGUUCAAUAAUUAAUGAGAAAGAAAUCUUUCAGAUUUUAAUUCUCACUAAAACCCUGCAUAAAUUGCACAGCAGCUUUUUUGUUUGCACUUCCAGCUUCUCCAUGCCUGAUUACCUUAUUUUCUUAAAUUUCUCAAACCACCUUCUACUUGUUUAAAAAUAUGAAUACCAUUUGGGAUAAUUUUUUAUCAGAUGGUGAUGCAAUUGCAUUUAAAAAAAUUAUAACACUGGGAAAAUAUUCGAUGUAACAAACGCAGAGUUUCAAAAAUAGUCAAUUAUUAUAAAUACAGUGAUACCAAACUUGAAAAUUUAAAAAUGAAAUUUAUUAUCAUUAUUUUAGUUUGUCAGCGGCACAUAAAUUGAUGACUUUGGAAUAAUUAAUAAAUCUCCCUGCACAAUAUACUGGAAAAUUUUUAUAAAUUAUUGAUUUUUAUAUAAUUACUAAAUCUAGAAAUCUUUCUGUUUUGUGAAACUUUUAUUUCAUUCACAUUUAUCUCUAUCUAAAUAGAAAAUAAGAGAGUGAUUAUUACAGUUUUCAUGAUUAGAAUUU
rnacentral:misc_RNA from 1 species